rnacentral:rRNA from 1 species
AAGCUCGUAGUUGAAUUUCGAAUGUGGCUGGGCGGUCCGCCUCACGGUGUGUACUGUCUGGCUGUGUUCUCUUUCUUGGUGAGCCGGCAUGCCCUUUACUGGGUGUGUUGGGGAACCAGGACGUUUACCUUGAGAAAAUUAGAGUGUUCAAAGCAAGCCUACGCCCGAAUACAUUAGCAUGGCAUAAUAAAAUAGGACGUGCGGUUCUGUUUUGUUGGUUUCUAGAGCCGCAGUAAUGAUUAAUAGGGAUAGUUGG